UAAUUCAGAUGCCAAAAAAAAAAACGAACAUCUCGAGGUAUCCUGGGAACAGAAAUUGGAAUAACUGACAUGAACAGAUCUUUUCAACAUAUAUACUGGGACAGCCUCAAGCAGCAAAGUUAAAAUCAAGUAGGCUCCUUAUUCAUAUGUAAACUCAAAGCAAUUAAAUACUAAUAUUCCCACCAAUCAAAUAUCAAAUCAGUGAUCAUAGAGUCAUAUCGAACUAUAAUCCGACAUGUCCAAACCAAGCAGAUUCAUAAAUUUAUAUGCUUGUCCAAAGUGAAGCAACAGAUUUAACAAAAUGACAUGGAAAAACUGGAGCCAAAUCAAAUCAGUAUUUUAUGCAUUCAAAACUAGCAACAAUCAGAAAAUUAGAAGUGUACCUACCUUGUAUUUUAAAAGAAACGAAGGAAAAGCGAAACGAAGCUCAACAGCAAUUUCCCGUCCACAACAAACAACAAUCGCAGCAAGACAACUCCAAUUAGAGCUUCGAUAACUUGGAUCCUAAAUAAGAUACGGGCAUCGAGAGAAGAGUUCCAAUCAAGGGCAGCCACAAUAGCUCGAGCUACAUCGCUUGCUAUACCAUUUUCCUCUAUCUUUUUUAGCUGUUAAUUAAUGCUUCAAUAGAUUCUUGAAGUUGUACAUUAUUCACCUUUGAAAAGGGUUUUAAAAGGAAGAAAGAAAAAAUUGGAAAGAGGGUUUUAAGCAAAUAUGUCAGUUAUUUGCACUCUGCGAUGGUGGACAGAGUGGGGAUAGAGGAAAGGUGCUUCAUCUUUUUUGGGCUAUAAUUUGUGUGUCGUGUGGAGAAAAUGAAGAAGAAGAAAGAGAGGUCUAAUCUUUUUUGUGGAAACAACGCUGAGGGGGUG
rnacentral:lncRNA from 1 species